rnacentral:SRP_RNA from 1 species
GCUGGGCGUGGUGGCUCAUGCCUGUAAUCCUAGCACUUUGGGAGGCAGAGGCAGGAGGAUGACUUGAGCCCAGGAGUUUGAGACCAGCCUGGGCAACAUAGUGAGACCCUGUCUCUA